CUACGAGGUUCUUGGAGUGGAGAGGACAGCUUCUCAGCAAGAAAUAAAGAAGGCAUACUAUAAGUUGGCACUUCGCCUGCAUCCUGAUAAAAACCCUGGAGAUGAGGAAGCAAAAGAGAAAUUUCAGCAGUUGCAAAAGGUUAUGUCGAUUCUUGGGGAUGAGGAGAAGCGUGCAGUUUAUGAUCAAACUGGCUGUAUUGAUGAUGCCGACCUUGCAGGGG
rnacentral:misc_RNA from 1 species